UAAACGUGUAGACAAAAUUUAUAGUGUAACAUCUUCUGCUUUCAAGAUGGCGAAGCCAAAAAUAAACAUUAAAAAGAUCGAGAAUUCCUUGUACAUAUAAUUAUUAACCUUGCAGUCCGAGGUUAUCGAAGCAUAUAAUUUACAGAGUGGAAUUGAUUUUGGGUAAAAUUUGAAAAAAAAACAUCAAAAACUUGUGAUCUUUGAAGGCAUUUCAAAUCAUCUAUUGGCUGGAACAUGAUUUUUGGACUCUUUCUCUACAGAUGGGUGGCCAGAUCAACCAGGGAUUCUGAAGUUGGAAACAAAAGCAAUGUUUCCCGCGGAUGAUCCGGAGCUGAUAGCGGAAUGUUCUAUCGCUAGAGAUCAGUGUAGCCUUGAGUGUAGCAUCAAGCGGCGAUAGCUACAAUGCAACGAAAUUUAUAUUUUGCACACAGAAGGUUUGACUAAAAAUAUAGAAAAUAUGCAAAAUCUUGUUUUGAUCGUUAAACGAAAGAAAACAUCAAGGGGUUGGAGAAAAUUAACACGAUAAAAUAUUUUAUUGGAACUACAAUCUUGAUUUUCAAACCAACCUGGAACGUUUCUUACGUCAACAAUCAUGUUUGUCAAUUUAAUAAUAAUGAUUAUUAGGAUUACAAACAUCCUUCACUUUGACGACAACAAUCUCGUUUGUCGAACCCGCAAACAUGUUAGGUUGAAUUUGGCAAACAUGUUAGCCGGCCCUGAGAUGACAAACAUGUUUGUGGGCUACACCCAACAUUUUGCCAGAUUCACAAUCGGAUUUUUC